rnacentral:rRNA from 1 species
GACGAACGCUGGCGGCGUGCUUAACACAUGCAAGUCGAACGGAAAGGCCCUGCUUUUGUGGGGUGCUCGAGUGGCGAACGGGUGAGUAACACGUGAGUAACCUGCCCUUGACUUUGGGAUAACUUCAGGAAACUGGGGCUAAUACCGGAUAGGAGCUCCUACUGCAUGGUGGGGGUUGGAAAGUUUCGGCGGUUGGGGAUGGACUCGCGGCUUAUCAGCUUGUUGGUGGGGUAGUGGCUUACCAAGGCUUUGACGGGUAGCCGGCCUGAGAGGGUGACCGGCCACCUUGGGACUGAGAUACGGCCCAGACUCCUACGGGAGGCAGCAGUGGGGAAUAUUGCACAAUGGGUGGAAGCCUGAUGCAGCAACGCCGCGUGCGGGAUGACGGCCUUCGGGUUGUAAACCGCUUUCGCCUGUGACGAAGCGUGAGUGACGGUAAUGGGUAAAGAAGCACCGGCUAACUACGUG